rnacentral:rRNA from 1 species
GAUGAACGCUGGCGGCGUGCCUAAUACAUGCAAGUCGAGCGAACAGACGCGGAGCUUGCUCCUCUGACGUUAGCGGCGGACGGGUGAGUAACACGUGGAUCACCUACCUAUCAGACUGGGAUAACUUCGGGACACCGGAGCUAAUACCGGAUAAUCUAUUGAACCGCAUGGUUCAAUAGUGAAAGACGGUUUUGCUGUCACUUCUAGAUGGAUCCCCGCCGCAUGAGCUAGUUGGUAAGGUAACGGCUUACCAAGGCAACGAUGCGUAGCCGACCUGAGAGGCGGAUCGGCCACACUGGAACGGGGACACGGUCCAGACGCCUGCGGGAGGCAGCAGUAGGGAAUCUGCCGCAAUGGGCGAAAGCCUGACGGAGCAACGCCGCGUGAGUGAUGAAGGUCUUCGGAUCGUAAAACUCUGUUAUUAGGGAAAAACAGAUGUGUAAGUAACUAUGCACGUCUUGACGGUACCUAAUCAGAAAGCCACGGCUAACUACGUG